GUAGGGAAUAUUGCGCAAUGGACGAAAGUCUGACGCAGCGACGCCGCGUGAGUGAUGAAGGCCUUAGGGUCGUAAAGCUCUGUUGAAUGGGAAGAAAAAAAUGACGGUACCAUUCGAGGAAGGACCGGCUAACUUCGUGCCAGCAGCCGCGGUAAUACGAGGGGUCCUAGCGUUGUUCGGAAUCAUUGGGCGUAAAGGGUGUGUAGGUGGCCAUGUAAGUCAGGUGUGAAAGCCCCGGGCUCAACCCGGGAAGUGCACUUGAUACUGCGUGGCUUGAGUACCGAAGAGGGUAGUGGAAUUCCAGGUGUAGUGGUGAAAUACGUAGAUAUCUGGAGGAACACCGGUGGCAAAGGCGGCUACCUGGUCGAGUACUGACACUGAGACACGAAAGCAUGGGGAUCAAACAGGAUUAGAUACCCGGGUAGUCC
rnacentral:rRNA from 1 species